GACGAACGCUGGCGGCGUGCUUAACACAUGCAAGUCGAACGGAAAGGCCCUGCUUUUGUGGGGUGCUCGAGUGGCGAACGGGUGAGUAACACGUGAGUAACCUGCCCUUGACUUUGGGAUAACUUCAGGAAACUGGGGCUAAUACCAGAUAGGAGCUCCUGCUGCAUGGUGGGGGUUGGAAAGUUUCGGCGGUUGGGGAUGGGCUCGCGGCUUAUCAGCUUGUUGGUGGGGUAGUGGCUUACCAAGGCUUUGACGGGUAGCCGGCCUGAGAGGGUGACCGGCCACAUUGGGACUGAGAUACGGCCCAGACUCCUACGGGAGGCAGCAGUGGGGAAUAUUGCACAAUGGGCGGAAGCCUGAUGCAGCAACGCCGCGUGCGGGAUGACGGCCUUCGGGUUGUAAACCGCUUUCGCCUGUGACGAAGCGUGAGUGACGGUAAUGGGUAAAGAAGCACCGGCUAACUACGUG
rnacentral:rRNA from 1 species